UUGAACCGUAUGUAGUAUGCAUAUUACCUAUGAACCAUCUAUGCAUAUGAUAUGGUGGAUAUUCUAUGCAUACUAUGUUAACUCAUAUGUAACAACACAUAUCGUAACCAUGUUCUAGAGCCUAUAUAGUGUAUUAGUAAAAAUUCAUGAGCAUAUAUUCCUACAUAAUAUUAUAAAGAUGUUUACUGAAGUCUAGUUAUAAUGUAUAUAUGCCUAAGUUGUUUGGUUCUAUAAAUAUAAGAUUUCGAGUCAUAUGACAAUAUGUGUCAACCAUGUACUAUUUAGGAGUAAUAAACAUAGAAUAAUUAAUUGUAAUCCAUAUGAACAAUUCUUUGUUCAUAAGUCAUAAGCACAACAUAUUGGUCUAUACCAUUCAACAUAAUAGUAUUAAAAUGAUAGAUUGUAUAUAGUAUAAUUUAGCAACCCUAUAUACAUAGCAUAUGAAGU
rnacentral:lncRNA from 1 species